rnacentral:rRNA from 1 species
GAUGAACGCUGGCGGCGUGCCUAAUACAUGCAAGUCGAGCGAAUGAAUUAAGAGCUUGCUCUUAUGAAGUUAGCGGCGGACGGGUGAGUAACACGUGGGUAACCUGCCCAUAAGACUGGGAUAACUCCGGGAAACCGGGGCUAAUACCGGAUAACAUUUUGAACUGCAUGGUUCGAAAUUGAAAGGCGGCUUCGGCUGUCACUUAUGGAUGGACCCGCGUCGCAUUAGCUAGUUGGUGAGGUAACGGCUCACCAAGGCAACGAUGCGUAGCCGACCUGAGAGGGUGAUCGGCCACACUGGGACUGAGACACGGCCCAGACUCCUACGGGAGGCAGCAGUAGGGAAUCUUCCGCAAUGGACGAAAGUCUGACGGAGCAACGCCGCGUGAGUGAUGAAGGCUUUCGGGUCGUAAAACUCUGUUGUUAGGGAAGAACAAGUGCUAGUUGAAUAAGCUGGCACCUUGACGGUACCUAACC